UGCGAGGUAGAGCAGUUGGUUAGCUUGCGGCGCUCAUAACGCCGAGGUCGCUGGUUCGAGUCCAGCCUUCGCUUCCA
rnacentral:tRNA from 1 species